rnacentral:rRNA from 1 species
UACGGAGGGUGCGAGCGUUGUCCGGAAUCACUGGGCGUAAAGGGCGCGUAGGCGGCCUGAUAAGUAGGGGGUGAAAUCUUGCGGCUUAACCGCAAGGCUGCCUUCUAAACUGUCGGGCUAGAGCACAGUAGAGGCAGGUGGAAUUCCCGGUGUAGCGGUGGAAUGCGUAGAGAUCGGGAAGAACAUCAGUGGCGAAGGCGGCCUGCUGGGCUGUUGCUGACGCUGAGGCGCGACAGCGUGGGGGAGCAAACAGG